CCUACGGGAGGCAGCAGUGGGGAAUAUUGGACAAUGGGGGCAACCCUGAUCCAGCCAUGCCGCGUGUGUGAAGAAGGCCCUCGGGUUGUAAAGCACUUUCAGUGAGGAAGAACGCCUGGUGGUUAAUACCCAUCAGGAAAGACAUCACUCACAGAAGAAGCACCGGCUAACUCCGUGCCAGCAGCCGCGGUAAUACGGAGGGUGCGAGCGUUAAUCGGAAUUACUGGGCGUAAAGCGCGCGUAGGUGGCUUGAUAAGCCGGUUAUGAAAGCCCCGGGCUCAACCUGGGAACGGCAUCCGGAACUGUCAAGCUAGAGUGCAGGAGAGGAAGGUAGAAUUCCCGGUGUAGCGGUGAAAUGCGUAGAGAUCGGGAGGAAUACCAGUGGCGAAGGCGGCCUUCUGGACUGACACUGACACUGAGGUGCGAAAGCGUGGGUAGCAAACAGGAUUAGAUACCCUUGUAGUC
rnacentral:rRNA from 1 species